GCAGAAUGCACAAGCUUCUGUUUCUACAC
rnacentral:piRNA from 1 species